rnacentral:rRNA from 1 species
GACGUAGGGGGCCAGCGUUGUUCGGAAUUACUGGGCGUAAAGGGUUCGUAGGCGGUGCGGCAAGUCGGAAGUGAAAUCUCUGGGCUCAACCCAGAGGCUGCUCCCGAAACUGCCGUGCUUGAGUGUGGGAGAGGCCAGUGGAAUUGCAGGUGUAGCGGUGAAAUGCGUAGAUAUCUGCAGGAACACCCGUGGCGAAGGCGGCUGGCUGGACCACAACUGACGCUGAGGAACGAAAGCGUGGGGAGCAAACAGG